UGUCUCAUAACUAUGUAUAUAUUAGCUAUGUAGUAAAAGAACAUUAUAAGUAUUACUUGUCCAUGUUUGCAGUGUUGAAAUUGGUUCAUCAGAGUCAUUCUUGCAUGGAAGGGAACUCCCAACUCUUAUUGUUCAGUCGACUGAUGUGGCGAAAAUGGGAGAAAGGGAGUGGUAUUUCUUCAGCUUGAGAGACAGAAAGUAUCCAACUGAGCUGAAAACUAACAGAACCACCGGCGCCGGUUACUGGAAAGCCACCGGAAAAGACAGAGAAGUUUACAGCAGUUGUAGUGGUGGUGGUCGUUCAAGUACUGGUGGUGAUGCACUUCUUGGAAUGAAGAGAACACUGGUUUUCUACAAAGGGAGGGCCCCACGGGAGAAAACCAAGUGGGUCAUGCAUGAAUACCACCUCGACGGCGACAAAUCUUUUUGAUUGAUUUUGGACGAAUGUUUAAGCUUUUGAAGGAUGACGUUGCAGUUGAUAAUAUGUUCGAUCCUUCCAGUUUAUUGGUGAAGUGAAGUUGGUUUUUGUUGAGAUAUUUUUGUAUUUAGAUCUAGUGUACCUUUGGAUAUUUUUUAGACUUAACUUUGCAAUUCAGACCAUUUGUUUUGUAGCAUCUGGAUUAUUAUCUAUCAGUUGUUGAGAUGUAAAUUCGGAUAUGAGACUAUAAUUAUUUUAAGUUUCUUUGAAUUUAUUAUUU